GGAGGGCAAAGCCGCGAGGCGCGGCUCCGGCUUGAGAAGCACGGAGUCCCCGUCAAGGGGAUGGGGUUCGAAUCCCCUGCCCUCCG
rnacentral:tRNA from 1 species